GAUGAAGAACGCAGUGAAAUGCGAUAAGUAAUGUGAAUUGCAGAAUUCAGUGAAUCAUCGAAUCUUUGAACGCACAUUGCGCCCAUUAGUAUUCUAGUGGGCAUGCCUGUUCGAGCGUCAUUUCAACCCUUAAGCCCCUGUUGCUUAGCGUUGGGAGCCUACAGCCUGCUGUAGUUCCUCAAAGUUAGUGGCGGAGUCAGUUCACACUCUAGACGUAGUAAAAUCUUUAUCUCGCCUAUAGAUGAGCUGGCGCCUUGCCGUAAAAAACCCCUAAUCUUUUACAAGGUUGACCUCGGAUCAGGUAGGAAUACCCGCUGAACUUAAGCAUAUCAAUAAGCGGAGGA
rnacentral:misc_RNA from 1 species